CCUACGGGCGGCUGCAGUGGGGAAUAUUGGACAAUGGGGGCAACCCUGAUCCAGCCAUGCCGCGUGUGUGAAGAAGGCCCUCGGGUUGUAAAGCACUUUCAGUGAGGAAGAACGCCUGGUGGUUAAUACCCAUCAGGAAAGACAUCACUCACAGAAGAAGCACCGGCUAACUCCGUGCCAGCAGCCGCGGUAAUACGGAGGGUGCGAGCGUUAAUCGGAAUUACUGGGCGUAAAGCGCGCGUAGGUGGCUUGAUAAGCCGGUUGUGAAAGCCCCGGGCUCAACCUGGGAACGGCAUCCGGAACUGUCAAGCUAGAGUGCAGGAGAGGAAGGUAGAAUUCCCGGUGUAGCGGUGAAAUGCGUAGAGAUCGGGAGGAAUACCAGUGGCGAAGGCGGCCUUCUGGAAUGACACUGACACUGAGGUGCGAAAGCGUGGGUAGCAAACAGGAUUAGAUACCCCUGUAGUC
rnacentral:rRNA from 1 species